GCCCGGCCCCGCAGCGGCCCCUUCGCUUCCGAAGCGGCCAUUUACGAGGGGCCUCGGCCGGCUGCUCCCCCCGGAAGAAGAAGGAGGGACUUCUUGAGGAAGGGACAGAGUCUACGUGCCCAAUUAUUUCCAGUGGAUCUUUUCUCCAUGAACGUGUCUGGUUGCCCCUUAAGGCCAUGGAAAGUUUUAGCAUGUACAAGGCACGUAGAACACUGCACUGCUCAGCACCGAUCACAAGGAUCUGACUUCUCCAUUGAGUAGAACUCAGAAGCUUCAUACUGUUUGCUUUUUAUCUGGCUCUUCUUUUGCAAGACUAGGGUUGAAGUAUUUAAAGCCUCUAUACUAGACUGGUACCAUAACAAGUCUUCCUGGAAAUUAUACCGUGUAUGGUUUUAACAAUGAAAAGCCAGUUCCUGUUUACUUAUUUUCAUCAACAUAUAAGGUCCAUGAACUUUACGGAAUAAAUGUUACUGUUCACCUGUUUUCAUUAAGUACGUAUCAUUCUUGGUGCUCCAGCAAUUGCUUACACAGAAGAAUAGUGCUAGAAAAGACUAAAUAUUUUUAUCCAUGCUUAAUUGUAUUUAACUGAUUUUGGUCACAGUACAAUUUAUUUUUGACAGCAGCUGCUUUGCUAUUCCUUAUUUCACAUUUCCAAUUUACAUAUCUUAUUUUUUCUCUCUGCCUACUCUCCAGUACAUAUUC